UGGAAGACUAGUGAUUUUGUUGUUGUAAUAUAUAAAGACAACAAAACACAGCCUGCCUUA
rnacentral:pre_miRNA from 1 species